AGCAAAAUGAUGACAUACUUUGCUAUGAAUUUUAUGUAGAAAAAUAUAAUGGUCUUUGAAGUUCUCAUGCUUUGCU